rnacentral:lncRNA from 1 species
GCUUACGCUUUCAAUGGAUUUGUUUUUUGUAACAAAAGGCCAAGUUGAAUGAAAGAAUGAUCCCCUAACCAAAAAAAAAGGGCUAAUCAACUACUACCACUACUCUAUAGUUAAUUAUGCUAAAAAAAAAUAAGUUCAAUAUAACUUAUACAAUUGCCAAUUUGCCUAUUUGACACUGAAAAAUAGCUGUUAGAAGUGAGGAAUUUUCUCCGUACAAAAACAAACAACUUUGAGCAAGCUUCUAUAGCUGGGGACAUCGAUUACGGUGGAACUCUCCAUGAGAACCAACAAUAUAAAAAAGAAGCAGACCUAAUGCAAAAAAGUAAGAAGAAAGUCAGAAAAAAGGGUGUAGAAUAUCAGAUAGGCAAAGUAUGAUUCCAAAGAAAGAAGAAUGGAUAAGGGAGGGGCCCGUCUUAGGAAGCCACUAGAGAAAAAGCAAUUCUUUUGCCCAAGCAGUUGAAAAUGGACCUAUCGAAAAUGACAAAGAGGAUGUUUAAGAAAUGGAAGAAGAAGACUCAAAGGAAACAGAUAAAGAGGAUUUUGAAGAUAUUAGAAAAGAUACAGAUCAAGAAAUCAGGAUUGAAAAAGUGGAAGAAGGACUUCUCAACAUUAUUAUUGAGGAUGCUAUAGAGAGAAAACCUUGGAAGCCAUGGUGGAACACCCUUAUAGUCAAAUUAUUGGGAAAAAAAGCAGGUUAUGUGGUUAUGAAAAGAAGGCUAGAAUCCAUGUGGGGAAAAAAAGAACCAUAGACGUUAUUGAUCUUGGUCAAGAAUAUUACCUAGUGAAGUUCCACUCUAGUGAGGAUUUUGAUUUCGCUCUACUAGAAGGUCCAUAAAAUCUCUAUGAUCAUUACCUAAUUGUGAGGCUAUGGGAACCAAAUUUCAACCUUUCAAUAGCAUCUAUUGACAAAAUUACUGCAUGGGUCAGACUCCCAGGCUUGCCAAUCGAGCUUUAAAACAUAACUAUACUAAGAAAGAUUGGAAACUUAAUUGGAAGAACAAUAAAAGUAGAUGAUAACAUAACUGGAUUAUGCAGAGGCAAGUUCGCAAGACUUUGUGUGGAAGUGGACAUUACAAAGCCUUUAAUGGGAUAUGAAGAGAAUAUAAGGUGGAAUAUGAAGGUAUCCACCAAAUAUGCUUUCAGUGUGGAAAAAUUGUCCAUUUAAGAGAGACAAAACACAGGGGGAUGAAAUCCAUAACAUGUAAAACAAGGGGAGAGCAGAUAGUUCAGACAAAGAAAGAGAAAACAGUGACGCACUAAGAGAUGCUGAAGAAGCAGGCGUCAUGGUUAAAAGAGAUAAAGGCAAGGAAAUAAUGACUGGUGAACAAUAUAACUUUGGGGAACGGAUGAUAGUACAACGUCCAAGAAGGGGAAGAAGAAACCAAAAAGAGGAAGAAGCCAGAAACAAACCAAAAAUAAGUAAAGUCAAAGGAAAAGAAGACUACACAGAGACAAACUCACGAUAUGGAGUGCUUACUAUUGAGGAACCAGAGCAGACUAUAAAUGAAGAGAGGCAAGAUAAAUACAAUGACAGAACCAACAAAAAACCAGAACAGCAACAAAAAGAAAACAACAAGGGAGUUAACAACAAGCAUCUAAAAGGAAAAAGCAAUAAGGAAACAUCUAAAACCAAUAAAAAUCAGCAAACAAAAUAGAAGGACUUUCAAGUGCAACAAAGUACAAAGUCUGAAAGAGGCAAUCAAAUGAAGCCAAAAGAGACAGAAGAGGAAGUUGAAGAAUAAGAAGAAAAUUAUAUAGAAGUAGCGAAUGUGCAUCAUGAACAGAACUGGAUUGAAGAAACCAUUGACACACCCACUUUGAUGGAGGAAUGUAUUGAGCCUACAAGCAAAGAACACCCAGCCUCUUGAAGACCUCCAGACUCCUACACUAAUGCAGGAAAUGGGGAAGCUAGCUAAACGCCUAUGGAUACAGAGGAAGCAAACAGAGAUCUUGUUAACAACCUAAUUGAGGGAGUGGACUUUACUACUCCACAGAUCAGUGCAUUGAAGGACACUAAUAUGCACAUGAAUUAAUUCCCCGAAUUUUUUUAGUUGGUUAUUGGUUUUCUUUUUUCUUAUUUAUUUUAUUUUUAUAAUGAUAAAAUUAUUUGUAUGGAAUGUUAGCCAGGCAGCUAGCGGAGCAUUUAGAAGAACUUUUAAAGAGUUGAUGAGGUAACACAAGCCAGAUAUAGCAAUUCUACUAAAAAUCAAGUGCAGUAGGGAUAAGACCAAGAGAAUGAUAUAACAACUAGAUUUUAAUCACUAUAUCAUAGAGGAUGCGCAGGGAUUUGUAGGGGGAAUUUAGAUCCUUCAGAAUAGAAUCGACUUAAACAUUAUUGUGAUGGAGUCUCAAAAUCAAUACAUUCAUAUGAAAGUUAGAAAACAUGGCAGAAGGGACUGGUUUUUAACUGCGAUCUAUGCCAACCUACAUUACCAAAAUAGAAGAUCCAUUUGGCCAAAGCUCUUAAACAUAGCUAACUCCAUGCAAGAAGAAUGGCUUAUGGCAGGUGAUUUUUAUGAAAUAAAGGAUGGUACAGACAAAAAAGGUGGAGUAAACAUCGACACGAAAGCGUGUAAUGCGUUUGCGAAUUGGAUUAACAGUUGUGGUCUUAUUGACCUAAGAUCCAUUGGCCCAAGAUACACUUCGAGAGGACCAAAAAUGGGAAAGUUACGAUAGAGUUUCAAAAGGCUUGAUAGAGCUCUAGCUAACUAACCUUGGAGAACUAGAUUCCAUGAUGCGGUGGUGGAAGUGUUGAUCAGAACUAACUCUGAUCACCACCCCAUACUCAUCACAGUGGAAAAAGAUUCUAUUAAGGAAAAGAACAGGCCAUUUCAUUUCAAAACUAUGUGGGGGCUACAUCCAGACUUCUAUAAUAUUUUAAAAGGUAGUUAAGACAAUCAUAACAGCUUUAUGGUCGCUCUCAACAAGUUGGAGAAGGACUUGACUGCGUGGAAUAAAAAUUGUUUUGGCAAUAUUUUUAAACAAAAAAAGCAAAAUUCUAAACAGAUUAACAGGUAUACAAAGAAGUAAUGAUUAUGGGAGAAACCCUUUCCUUAAAGAGCUAGAACAAAAACUGAAUCAGGAACUAAAUGUGAUCCUUGAUCAGGAAGAAACAUACUGGAUGUGUAAGUCUAGAGAGAAAUGGAUCGUGGAUGGGGAUAGAAAUACCAGGUUUUACUACACAAAAGCCAUCAUAAAGAGAAGAAAAAAUAGAAUCCUUAAAUUAAAAGACACAACAGGAAGGUGGAUUGAAGAUGAAGAGGAACUAGGAAUGCACAUAAUCAACCAUUUCAAAAAUCUUUAUACAAAAGAGGUGAGAAUUGUUCCUUUUGAGCUUGAUCACUAUGACACCCCUAAUUUUGAUAUUCAUAAUUGCAGGAAGCUAAGAGAAAACCCCAACGAAGCAAAAAUAAAAAGAGUAGUCUUUAGCAUUGGAUCCACAAAGGCCCCAGAAAGUGAUGGUUUUCCGGCUCUUAUUUACAAAAAACAACUGGGAUAUCAUGAAGGAAAAAGUGUGUGACUUUAUUGGCUCAUACUGGAAAGUACUAAAUCUCAUCCAACUGGCUAACUCCACUCUUUUAGUCCUUGUGCCUAAGAUUAACAACCCGGAAUAUAUCAGUCAAUUCAGUCCUAUAGCCUUGUGCAAUGUGAGCUACAAGAUUAUCACCAAAAUUCUAGUUGAGAGAAUCAAACCCCACUUGGAGAGUAGAAUAAUGAUCCACCAAUCAAGUUUCAUACCAAGAAAGAAAAUUCAAGACAACAUCAUCAUAGCAAAGGAGCUGAUCCAACAAUGAGAAGAAUAUGGGGGAAGAAAAGAUUUAUGGCUAUAAAGAUCGAUUUUGAGAAGACGUAUGAUAGAUUGAGAUGAGAAUUCAUCAAGACUAGGCUAAAGGAAUUCAAGUUACUAGAAAAAAUUAUUAAGAUAGUCAUGAGUUGCAUGUCAAGCGUAUCAUACAAUAUUCUCUGGAAUAGAAACAAAACAGAAGAUUUCAUGUCAAAAAGAGGAGUUAGACAAGGAGAUCCAAUUUUUUCCUACCUUUUUAUUAUUUGUGUGGACAAGCU